rnacentral:rRNA from 1 species
GAUGAACGCUGGCGGCGUGCCUAAUACAUGCAAGUCGAGCGAACAGAUGAGGAGCUUGCUCCUCUGACGUUAGCGGCGGACGGGUGAGUAACACGUGGAUAACCUACCUAUAAGACUGGGAUAACUUCGGGAAACCGGAGCUAAUACCGGAUAAUAUAUUGAACCGCAUGGUUCAAUAGUGAAAGACGGUUUUGCUGUCACUUAUAGAUGGAUCCGCGCCGCAUUAGCUAGUUGGUAAGGUAACGGCUUACCAAGGCAACGAUGCGUAGCCGACCUGAGAGGGUGAUCGGCCACACUGGAACUGAGACACGGUCCAGACUCCUACGGGAGGCAGCAGUAGGGAAUCUUCCGCAAUGGGCGAAAGCCUGACGGAGCAACGCCGCGUGAGUGAUGAAGGUCUUCGGAUCGUAACUCUGUUAUUAGGGAAGAACAAAUGUGUAAGUAACUAUGCACGUCUUGACGGUACCUAAUCAGAAAGCCACGGCUAACUACGUG